rnacentral:rRNA from 1 species
CCUACGGGAGGCAGCAGUGAGGAAUAUUGGUCAAUGGGCGGAAGCCUGAACCAGCCAAGUAGCGUGCGGGAUGAAGGCCCUACGGGUCGUAAACCGCUUUUGCACGGGGAUAACACCCUCCACUUGUGGAGGUCUGCAGGUACCGUGCGAAUAAGGGCAGGCUAAUUCCGUGCCAGCAGCCGCGGUAAUACGGAAGGCCCGAGCGUUAUCCGGAUUAAUUGGGGUUAAAGGGAGCGUAGGCGGUCGUUCAAGUCAGCUGUAAAAUCGCGCGGCUCAACCGCGCCCCGCAGUUGAAACUGGACGCCUUGAGUUUACAACAGGCAGGCGGAAUUCGUGGUGUAGCGGGGAAAUGCAUAGAUAUCACACAGAACACCGAUUGCGAAGGCAUGUCACGAAUCCGCGAUUGACGCUGAUGCACGAAAGCGUGGGUAUCAAACAGGAUUAGAUACCCGAGUAGUC